ACACGCAUAUGUUCUCCUGACAUAAAAUGAGUAAUUCAGUAAAAUAUUUAACUAAAACAUAGAGUGCAUCAGUUAAUGGUAAGCGCUGUUAUUACCACCUUUAUCUCUGAGGAAUCAAAUAUACUUCAUUUAAGUUCAAUUCAGGCUUUGCUCUGUUAUUUGAAAUGCUUCAGGAAUUAAUUUUCCUACUUGUUCAGUUUGUUGGCUACUUUUCAUUAUAUUUGUUUGUUGUGCUUUAGAAUUUUAAUAUACAGACUCAUCUUCAGUAGGAGAGAGAGAGAGAGGCAGGCUCUCUGGUUCAAAACAAGGCUUAUAUGUAGGCUCUCUUGUUUUUGGCAGUAUUGCAGACCCAGUGUAACAGGGGGCUUGAGCCAGCAGUUCACUCUAUGUUGUCUCAGGUUCCUGUGCUACCUCCAAGACACAGCUUGAUGCAGGACAGGUCACUCCAGAGACAUCACAUCUUCCAGUUAUUUGAAGAAUUGAACUCCAGGCUACUUCUGCUAAAUGACAGAUUCAGAGCCUGGAUCCUAGAGCCCACAGGCUUAGUCCCACCUACCUCUGCGUGUUUGAGAUCACAAAGGCAUUUUUUAUGUAUCAUAUUUGGGUCAUCACUUAUAUAUUUGUAAUAUUGCUGCUGUGGUUUGGAUAUGAUUUAUUUGUCCCCACCAAAACUCAUGUUGAAAUUCGCUCCCCUGAUGUGGUGGUAUUGGAGGGUGGAGC
rnacentral:lncRNA from 1 species